GAAUUCGCCCUUAGAGUUUGAUCCUGGCUCAGGACGAACGCUGGCGGCGUGCCUAACACAUGCAAGUCGAACGAAGCUUUGAGGAGCUUGCUUUUUAAAGCUUAGUGGCGGACGGGUGAGUAACGCGUGAGCAACCUGCCUCUCAGAGGGGGAUAACGUUUUGAAAAGAACGCUAAUACCGCAUAACAUAUCGGAACCGCAUGAUUCUGAUAUCAAAGGAGCAAUCCGCUGAGAGAUGGGCUCGCGUCCGAUUAGUUAGUUGGUGAGGUAACGGCUCACCAAGACUACGAUCGGUAGCCGGACUGAGAGGUUGAUCGGCCACAUUGGGACUGAGACACGGCCCAGACUCCUACGGGAGGCAGCAGUGGGGGAUAUUGCACAAUGGGGGAAACCCUGAUGCAGCGACGCCGCGUGGAGGAAGAAGGUUUUCGGAUUGUAAACUCCUGUCGUUAGGGACGAUAAUGACGGUACCUAACAAGAAAGCACCGGCUAACUACGUGCCAGCAGCCGCGGUAAAACGUAGGGUGCAAGCGUUGUCCGGAAUUACUGGGUGUAAAGGGAGCGCAGGCGGGAAGACAAGUUGGAAGUGAAAACCAUGGGCUCAACCCAUGAAUUGCUUUCAAAACUGUUUUUCUUGAGUAGUGCAGAGGUAGAUGGAAUUCCCGGUGUAGCGGUGGAAUGCGUAGAUAUCGGGAGGAACACCAGUGGCGAAGGCGGUCUACUGGGCACCAACUGACGCUGAGGCUCGAAAGCAUGGGUAGCAAACAAGAUUAGAUACCCUGGUAGUCCAUGCCGUAAACGAUGAUU
rnacentral:rRNA from 1 species